AGAAUAUCAAUGUCUUUAGGUUUAAGGAUUUGAGCCCUGUUUUCUUGAAAAGAGAAUCAUGGCAGAGAAGAUAACAAGCUUUAGCUUCUUCUCUUGCUGCCUCCAGAGUCAGUUUUGGAGGGAUAUAAUGAAUUGCAUGAGGCAAAGCUCUUCUCCGAGCCCAGAAGAAUCCUCAUUUGGAACUCAACAGAGAGACAGCAACUGAGGGGUAGGGAGGGAUAAAAACAGGAGGGAAAGAGGGGGAGAAGGGGAAAAAAGGAGAUAGAGAUGGGGGGUAUUAUAGGAACAAAAGAUUUAUUUCUCAUUUGACUUGUUUGACUAAUGGAAUAUACCAGAAUAUACUUAAAAAAAUUAAUAGGACUAAGCUAUUCAACAGAAUCAAAAGUUGGGUACUAAAUCAACUAUUUCUGUGCUAAUUAUUGCAUAACUCAGGGACCAAAAAAUAAAUUUCCCUUCUAGACUUCAUGAACGAUAAAAAUUCUUACAAACAUUAUAAGAAACACAAUUUCUCUAACGUGCAUCACUGUAAUGAUCAAAGGUUCUUUCUACUAGUAAAUUCAUUCUAUAGGAGGCAGGCCAAUGUUCCUG
rnacentral:misc_RNA from 1 species